UUCCCUCUCUGCGUCCCAAACAAAGUGUCACAAAGAGCUCGGCCGGCGGCAGCGGCGGAGGCGGCUGCAACUCAGCUUUUGUUCUCCGGGCCCGGGUAGCUGAGCCUUGGCCUCCCAGUCUCCCAACCCUGUCCCCCAUCAUGCUUCUGGUUUAUCUUCCCCGGGAGGGGCCCGGGGUGCUGCUAGAAGAACCUCUUGUGCAAGAUCAAAGGUCUUGCCCUACUUGCCAACCUACUUCUGAGAGGGAGAUUUUCCCAGAGGCUUUCUUACCCACUCCCCACCCCCUUAUCUGAGAACUGAGGUUCAUAUGGGUGCUGAGACCCUGACCUUUCUAGGGUCAGCUCCAGCUAAGGGGGCUUAGGGCUGGCUGCAUGCCCUUCCCCCAGAUCCAGGUCCUUCGCAACUUUCAGAAGAGGGGUCAACUUGGGACAUGCCUCUGGGAUAAGAUUCACUAUGGUGGGGUGGCUGUAGGUGAGCAGGUGUACUUUCCUCUCACCUCCUGCUGUCCAUUUGAAACCCACAACUGAGGUCUAUAACCCCCACUCAGGGUAGUGAGGAUGGAAGGAAGCAGGCUUUACCAAGAGCUCAGUCUAAAAGGUGGGCAGGCUGUGCUAUGAGGUCAGUUUUAGGGGAGCCACCUGAGCAGUGCAGUUCAGAGGACCAUGGAAAGGAGGCCAUAAAAGUGAACUAGUGGCGUGUCCAUGUGAUAAAGGUGGUCUUGACUCUAGACCACCUAAGGACUUCCCUUUCAACUCCAUCUAGUACAGCAUUAAUCAUAAUUGUUAGAGGACUUGGAGGGCGUAAACAUUCUCAGAGGGAAAAACAUCAAGUGUAGAGAUGACCGGAGACAGAGAUCUAGUCACUGUCCUGCAGGCCCUAUACUUCAAGUCCUGACCAUUGCCCCUUACACUUUGACCCUAAAAGCUUUGGAAACACAAAGUUUGAGAGAGAAUCUUCAUGGUCCUCCAGACAUCAGAUGCAUCUAUGUACUUGUCCCUGUUGUUUCUAAGAGUCUUCUCACCAACCCUUGAUGGUCCACACCCCCUUUCCCACCAGGUCUCCUAGCAUAUAAAAGGAAUUGGCCUAUUGCUUUGGAAAGAUUUUGGAUCCCUAUCCCUGGCCCUACAUCCCUGUAGAACCCAAAUAAGGGCAAAAUAACCCUUGAUUCCCACUGAGGGUGGGAAGUAGGUCAGUGCUGCUGCCUGGCUAAGUCUCGUGGUUGGUGUUUAGGGCCUGAGUAUAGAAAACUCUGAUUAUUGCCCAUGGGCAAUGCAUGCGUGAUCUGGGUUCCAGGUCAUUUCAUAAAAUCUGGGGCUCUGGGGCUCUGUCAGUGCUUUCUCCGACUGAGAAAAACUUGUGGGAUCAGGUUCUUGGGACCUCUUUGGUGAGGAGAUGAUUCUGGAGAUCCUGACUGAGCCUAGGAGGUUCUCUCAGUGGGUUUUGUUGAUUUGAGGCUACCCUCUGGGGAAACUUUCCCUGCUGGGAAUUCAGCUUCACUUUGAGCCUUCUUGUAUAUCACUGCAUUUCCGUCCUGGAAAACUGCUAUGUGCAAAGCAGUGCUUUUGUUUUGUUUUGGGGAGGAACCUUUGCCCAAUUCCUACUCUACUUGCUUUGGUAUGAGAUCAGCCUCCCAGGAGGUAUUUUGUUUACUAUCCUAUAAGCGGUUUUAAGGGCCCUAGAAUCUUCUCAGAAUCAGGGUAUGUGCCCAUAGGUUAGUCAGCUAUGACCAUGCAGUAUUCCCAGCCUCCUCCCCCUCCUCCCCCACCAUCUGCUUCCUCUGAAUAUACCAGAUUGGCUGUACACCAGGAUGUUCCGGGAAUCCCCAGGAGAGCAACAGAAUGUGAUGGACCCAAAUAUGAUGCCUCAGUAACUCAUUCCAGGAUGUACAAACUGUAACUGUCAGAACACUCCUUAUAGCUAAUUAAAAUUCUUCUAGUUACAUCUAUUUUCUGUUACAUCUGUCUAUUUUCAGUGACAUCCAAAAGGCCAAAAUAAUCCCUCUGGUACCACUGGUUUUUUUCCCCCCUCUAUGGUUUCCAGAUAAGAAUUUUUAAAAAUCCUCUGGCUUUUCUUGUUGCCUUAUGCGAGGUGCUAAAAUGGCAAAUAUGGCCCCUCUAGCACUUCAUUGCUCUAUGGUAUGGAGGUGGCCAAAGAGGCUCCUCUGGUAGCCCACUGCACUCUCCAUGGUACUGAAGGAAUGACCAUUUGUUUCAACAUCUCUCUGGGGUCCAGAAGAGUCCUAUGACUCAGAACCACAAAACUUUUGAACUGGAGGGGACCAUCAGUAUAAAUUAGUCUAAUCCCCUUAUUUUACAGAUGAGUAAACUGGGAAGUUAAGUGAUUUACUGAAGGUUGCAGGGCUAUUAAUGAUCUGACUGGGCCCACAAUAGUCUUGUACCCCUCAGUCCUAAACUAAUUCAUCUUUCAUUAUAUUACUUAGUGAACUCAACAAGGCUCUUGGUCUCAGGAAAGGGGCUUAUUUGGAGGAUCCAGAAGAUGAGAGUGGAUACCUUAAUUUGAAGCUGCAGAAAUAAAGAUAUUAAAAGUUGUGGUGGAGGUUGUUUAGUGACCCUGGACAAAGACAUUUUGUUAAUUAAUUUCCUGUUAAUAAAAUUCCCAUCACCCAGAUUCCACAUGUAACAGGUACCUGACCAUUCAUGGAAUCUUGUCCCAUCUACUAAACAUCAAAAAUUAAAGCAUCCUUGGGUCUCCAGAGCCUUUUUUCUUUGCAGGGCUGACCCUAGCUCAGUUCUCUACUGUUAAAAUUCCUUAAGCAAAAUAUUGCUGAAUCCUUUUCUUUCUCAGUAACCUAUUUCAGUUUCACAAUGCCUAUUGUAAGGAGGUUCUUUAUACCUCAAACAUUCUUUCUGUCUCAGGCCAAAAAAAAAAAAAAAAUCAUGUAAGGUCCACAUUUGUCUAGGUUUGACCACAUACAGUUCUUUAUGUAAGCAGGAUAGACUAGAUGACUUCUGGUCAUUCUCCUAGGCCUGUUUCCAUGAAUCUUAAUUGUGGGGUUGCUUCUAAGUCCUAAAGCUAACCUUCUCUGCAGCUUAGAAUCAGGAGAUCCUUGCCGCCCCCCCCCCCCCCCCCCACCAAGUCCUCUUCCUCUCAAUGCUCUUCUCCUUCCUCAGAACUGGAGCUCUGCACAUCCCAGGCCCAGGGAAUUUUAGCCUGGAGAAUUUUAACCCUUUUCAGCUCAGAGCAUGUGCUGAGCCCCUAUCUGUGCAGAUGGCCCAGCCCCGCCCCCCGUCCCUCACUCCAGCCUCUUGAGCUCAGAGCCAGUGUAAUCCUCCUCUUGUGUGAGGGAGCCUCUCCCCUGCAGAGAGGAGGAAAGCCUGCCUCGGAACAGCCCUGGACAAAGGGGCUGAGAUGCCCCAUCAAACUGCAGGCUCCAAGGUUUGAAACGAGGGGAUGAAUUCUAUCCGGUAUUUGCAGUUUUUAACCCCUUCCCAAGGCCAGCAGCGCCCCUUAACUUCCACUCCUCCCCCAACUCUCUCUUCAUUCCCUUUCCCUCUGGCUCUCUCCCCCUUCAUGCCCCUCCCCCUCUGUCUGUCUCCAGACUCUGCUGCUGGGAGGUGUUUCUCUCCCAUGCAUGAAUGAGUCUCUGUAAUGAAUGGAAAUGAAUGGAUCAGGAAUCCAGGCGGAGGGAGGAAGAAUGAGGGGGAAAGACAGAAAGACAGGGUAAAGGCAGAAGGAAGAACUGUGGAGCCUGGAAGAAUGUUUGGCUGGCUGGUCAGUUAGGGGUCUGAGAGCAACUGGUCCCACUUGGAUAGCUGAGGAGCAUGGCAAGCCGACCCCACUUGCUUUUCCCACUGCACAGCCCAGUCUAAAUGAGAGAAGAGUAUACUGUGAUGGUCUCUUCCACCACCAGGGUGGCAGAGACGUGGGUGGGGGGGGGUGCAUGGUGGUGGUGGUGGUGGUGGUGAUGGUUGUUCUGGAUAAGGCAUUUAAAAUGAAAAAUUUAGGGGGAAGAAAUCUGGGUUAUUAGGGAGCCUUGUGAACAAAUAAAGUAGUACAAGUUUUGAAAACAGCAGCCUCCUCCUGUCUCAGGAUGUAAGGGAGGAGAAGGGAUAGAUCCCAGGGUGCUAAGAGCUUGGGGCUCUCCAGAAGAGGCUGGGGUUAGGGGUGACUUUUUCCACUGCUGAAAAUCAGGGCUCAUCCUUUGCUCCAAAUCUGUCUCUCUUGCUUUAGCUCUUCAGCACCUGUUGCCUUCACUAGCAGCUUUCCCCCCUCUUCCGUACACUCCUCAGAACCAAAGAAUGUGAAGGGGGUCCAUGGAGGUGAGUGAGGCUCUGGCCUGAACCUACAAGUACCUGCAACUAUACUUCCUCCCCUCCCUACCUCUCUUUUGUCUCUCUGGCCUCCCAUUAUUAUUUCCGUGGUCCCAAAAGCUCAGUUCCCAUUCAUCCCCCAACUUCCUCGAGGUGAGUGGGAGGGGCCCCCGGUGUUCUUGGUUCAGGCCCCGACCCACCCUCUCUUGGGUUCCUCUGGCUCUCCGUAUCCAUGUCUCCCCCACAGCUCUCCCUUCUCCACCCUUCGCUCUGUUCACAUCUUUCUCCACAGGGCUCACGUCCCCGCGCCCCGGUCGGCCACCUAGCGCCGUCGCCCCCGGCUUUCGACGGCGAACUGGAUCUGCAGCGCUACUCCAACGGGCCAGGCGUGAGCGCUGGGUCUCCAGGGAUGGGAGCAGUGGGUUGGUCUGAGAGUCGCGCAGGCGAACGGCGCUUCCCCUGCCCUGUAUGCGGGAAGCGCUUCCGCUUCAACUCUAUCCUGGCUUUGCACCUGCGGGCGCACCCAGGCGCCCAGGCCUUCCAGUGCCCGCACUGUGGCCACCGUGCUGCGCAGCGUGCGCUGCUGCGCUCACACCUGCGCACGCACCAGCCCGAGCGCCCGCGAAGCCCCGCAGCGCGCCUGUUGCUGGAGUUGGAGGAGCGCGCUCUACUGCGGGAGGCCCGGCUGGGGCGACCUCGAAGCUCAGGGGGCCUGCAGGCCACCCCUGCCACCGAGGGCCUGGCGCGACCCCAGGCUCCUUCGUCGUCCGCCUUCCGUUGCCCCUUCUGCAAAGGCAAAUUUCGCACCGCGGCAGAGCGCGAACGCCACCUGCACAUUCUGCACAGGCCCUGGAAGUGCGGCCUGUGCAGUUUCGGCUCCAGCCAGGAGGAGGAGCUGCUGCACCACAGCCUGACCGCCCACGGAGCUCCCGAGCGCCCCCUGGCGGCCACCUCGGCUGCGCCCCAGCCUCAACCUCCACCCCAGCCUGAACCUAGAUCGGUCCCCGAGCCAGAGCCGGAGCCUGAAAGUGAGGCAACCCCGGCCCCCGCUCCUGCUGCUCCCGAGGAGCCCCCAGCGCCUCCGGAGUUCCGCUGUCAAGUGUGUGGCCAGAGCUUUACGCAGUCCUGGUUUCUCAAGGGUCAUAUGCGCAAGCACAAGGCCUCCUUCGAUCAUGCAUGUCCUGUUUGUGGCCGCUGCUUCAAGGAGCCCUGGUUCCUAAAGAACCACAUGAAAGUGCACGCCAGCAAGCUGGGCCCACUGCGUGCUCCGGGGCCUGGUUCCGGGCCUGCCCGGGCCCCCCAGCCUCCUGACCUGGGCCUACUUGCCUACGAGCCUCUGGGCCCUGCGCUCCUCUUGGCCCCAGCGCCCACCCCCGCUGAGCGCCGUGAGCCUCCGAGCCUCCUGGGCUACCUGAGCCUGCGAGCCGGCGAGGCGCGGCCCAAUGGUGAGGGCGCUGAGCCUGGGGCUGGCCGCAGCUUUGGAAGCUUCCGCCCACUGCCCUCUGCUCUCCCAGCCCGUGCUCGCCGGCACCGCGCCGAGGAGCCAGACGAGGAAGAGGAGGUGGUGGAGGCAGAGGAAGAGACCUGGGCCCGGAGCAGGGCGGUGGGCCCUCUGGCUUCACUGCCCCCGCGCCCAGGUGAGGCCUCAGGGCACUCUGCGCCUGCCGCGGGGGCCCAGGCGAGGUCCACCGCCACGCAGGAAGAGAAUGGGCUGUUAGUUGGAGGGGCCCGGCCUGAAGGGGGCCGGGGGGCCACCGGCAAGGAUUGCCCCUUUUGUGGAAAAUCUUUCCGCUCAGCGCAUCACCUCAAAGUGCACCUGCGAGUGCACACAGGCGAGCGCCCCUACAAGUGUCCACACUGCGACUACGCGGGCACCCAGUCCGGCUCGCUCAAGUAUCACCUGCAGCGCCACCACCGGGAGCAGAAGAGUGGAGCCGGCCCCGGGCCACCCCCAGAGCCACCGCCCCCUUCCCAGCGGGGUUCGGUCCAGUCGUCCGGAGCCAAGGCGGCUCCGCAGCCUGCGACCUGGGUAGAGGGCAGAGCGAGCCCCCGGCCUCCCGCGAGUGGCGGCGCGCCGGGGUCCCGUCGGAAGCCCGCUAGCCCCGGGAGGACCCUGCGCAACGGGCGAGGCGGUGAGGCCGAGCCCCUGGACCUGUCCCUGCGGGCGGGGCCGGGAGGCGAGGCUGGGCCAGGGGGUGCCCUCCACCGAUGCCUCUUCUGUCCCUUCGCCACUGGAGCCCCCGAGCUCAUGGCCUUGCACCUCCAAGUGCACCACAGCCGCAGGGCUCGGGGCCGCAGGCCGCCCCAGGCCGAUGCAUCCCCGCCCUAUGCCCGAGCACCAUCAGGAGAGACCCCUCCCACUCCUCCGCAGGAAGGGGAGGAGGGCCCCGGGCUGUUGAGAUCCGGAGAGGCCGGGCUAGGGGGCCAAGAAAGGUAGGGAGCCCUCUUAGGGGGCCGUUAGCUUAGUUUACCCCGCCGGAGCGGGGCAGCGGUAGAGGUAGUUGGGUAGAGCAGCCAGCAGGGGGCAGCGUGGGACCCAUAUCCCAGCCCCGGGCGGACCAGAGGUGGAGGGGCAGAGAGCGUGAGGAGGGUGGGCGGGCGACACCCACCCAGCCCAGAGGAGAGUCACAGUGCCUUAGCAGUGGCAGGGGUGAGGAUCAAAGAACGGGGUCCCAGGGCUGGCAGAGAGUACUGUUCCUGCUGAGGGGCAGCUCUGCCAGCCUUUGCUGGUCCAUAGGCGUGAGAGUUUAUUUUUGUACAAUGGGUGGGGGUGGGGGGCACUGCACCCUUCUAGCCCCUUCAGGGGCCCUGUAGACGUCGCUAUUUUUGGUACGAUUCCUGUCAUCCCUGUCGCAGAGUUGUGUCCCCAAUAAACAGGUGUCUUGAGACACAGGGCACUGUGUCUGCCUGCCUAUGUCCUGUCCUUGGGCCACUGCAUCCAGAAAUGAGUCCUUUCUUCAGGCACUUUUUACCACCCAAAGAGCUUGUUAACGAUCGGGUGAGCGGAAGUGCUCAAGUUAGUGGUAUCACUCCAACCCUGAGGUCUGCUCUAGCUGUUUGGAGACAAAGUGUGAGUAAAUAUAUUUAAUAUAACGAUAGUAUUAUAAUAACAGUAAUUACAUAUAUAAAGUUUGCAGUUCCCUGCCCCACUCUUCUGUAAUGGUUUGCAUAGCUCCGUGUCUAUGACCCCCCCCCCCC